rnacentral:rRNA from 1 species
UACGGAGGGGGCUAGCGUUGUUCGGAAUUACUGGGCGUAAAGCGCACGUAGGCGGCUUGUUAAGUCAGGGGUGAAAUCCUGGAGCUCAACUCCAGAACUGCCUUUGAUACUGGCGAGCUUGAGUCCGGGAGAGGUGAGUGGAACUGCGAGUGUAGAGGUGAAAUUCGUAGAUAUUCGCAAGAACACCAGUGGCGAAGGCGGCUCACUGGCCCGGUACUGACGCUGAGGUGCGAAAGCGUGGGGAGCAAACAGG